rnacentral:RNase_P_RNA from 1 species
CGAGCCGGGCGGACGGCCGCGUGAAGUUCCCGCGAGGGGCUUCCCGAGGAACGUCCGGACUCCACAGGGCAGGGUGGUGGCUAACGGCCACCCGGGGUGACCCGCGGGACAGUGCCACAGAAAACAGACCGCCGGGGACCUCGGUCCUCGGUAAGGGUGAAACGGCGGUGUAAGAGACCACCAGUGCCCAGGGUGACCUGGGCAGCUAGGUAAACCCCACCCGGAGCAAGGUCAAAAGGAGACACCCCGGUGUCUCUGCGCGGACGUUCGAGGGCUGCCCGCCCGAGUCCGCGGGUGGACCGCACGAGACCGGCGGCAACGCCGGUCCUAGAUGGAUGGCCGUCUCCCCGGCCGCCGCGAGGCGACCGGGCGACAAAAUCCGGCGUACAGCCCGACUCGUCUG